ensembl:lncRNA
GGAGCACAUCAGCUCGACCAAACUCGACCAAAUGUAAAUACAGAACAGGGAAAAUUAAGCACACCUGUGCAUGUGUUGUGCUUUUCAUGCUCUUGUGCUCCUUGUACAGUUACUUCACUGGUACAUUAGCACAGUGCAUUGGUGAGACAGCUGUUGCUGUAUGAGUAAAUCUAUAACACUGUAACCUUUCAGCAAGAAUGCUGCCAGGGAAAGAAAUGGAGUUUGAAAGUGUAGAUUAUGAGGACGUCAUGGACAAAGACAAUGAGAUGGAAGACUUCAGUCGUGGCAACGGGGUGACCUAUGAAGUGGAAGAUCCACAGGAGAGUUAUGAUGACAUCGAUACAGUCCCUGAAACUGCACAGACUACAGCAGAGGUCCACGACAGCCCUGAAACACAACAUGACUUAAACACAGCAGCCCCAGGAUUGGUGAAGAGGGAUGAGGACUACCUAGAGCCAGAUCAAGAUGAGUGAGCCAAAUGCGGCUUUAGAAACUACUUAAAAAAGUCUCACAAAGUGGCUCCUGACAAAAUUAACUGUUCUUUUUCUCUAAUUAAAAUAAGAGGACAAAAUAAUUAAAAUAUAUUGAUGCAACAUACAUUUACUGAAAUUCCUUGAAGAAAACUACAUUUAAUGCAAGAACUUAAUUUUAAAAGAAUUUAAAUUCAUCCCUUGAGCCUGUAUAGCAAAAAACUUAAAAUGUAAAAUGUAACAAAAAAGACGGAUACUAGUGUUAUCAAUAAAUCAUUCCAUGAUGUUGUGUUUAAUAGUAGUUGAAUGUAAAGCUUUUAUCAAACAUGUCUAUACUGUGUGGUAUUCCAUUUUUUAUUCAGUUAUCUUUGUUUAAAUGUGUGAUGUUGAAGCAACAGAUGAGCUAGCUAAUAG